GCGCGAAAACUUCGCAAUGCGGGAAACCGCGACGAGGGUAUUCCAAGUGCUAUUGCGAUGCAAUAGCUUUUCAAAAGCCUAAAAAGCUUUUGGAAUAAGGGCUGGGUAAGUCUGGUGCCAGCCGCCGCGGUAAUACCAGCAGCUCAAGUGGUGGUCGAUAUUAUUGAGCCUAAAGCGUCCGUAGCCGGACGGGUAAAUUCUUGGGUAAAUCAAACAGCUUAACUGUUCGACUUCCGAGAAGACUGCCCGUCUUGGGACUGGGAGAGGUCGGAGGUACUCUAGGGGUAGGGGUGAAAUCCUGUAAUCCUUAGGGGACCACCAGUGGCGAAGGCGUCCGACUAGAACGGGUCCGACGGUGAGGGACGAAGCCCAGGGGCGCAAACCGGAUUAGAUACCCGGGUAGUCCUGGGUGUAAACGCUGCAGAUUUGGUGUUGGGGGUUCCAUGAGAGCGCCCAGUGCCGGAGAGAAGUUGUUAAAUCUGCCGCUUGGGGAGUACGGUCGCAAGACUGAAACUUAAAGGAAUUGG
rnacentral:rRNA from 1 species